AUUGAACGCUGGCGGCAGGCCUAACACAUGCAAGUCGAACGGUAGCAGGAGGAAGCUUGCUUCUUUGCUGACGAGUGGCGGACGGGUGAGUAAUGUCUGGGAAACUGCCUGAUGGAGGGGGAUAACUACUGGAAACGGUAGCUAAUACCGCAUAACGUCGCAAGACCAAAGAGGGGGACCUUCGGGCCUCUUGCCAUCGGAUGUGCCCAGAUGGGAUUAGCUAGUAGGUGGGGUAACGGCUCACCUAGGCGACGAUCCCUAGCUGGUCUGAGAGGAUGACCAGCCACACUGGAACUGAGACACGGUCCAGACUCCUACGGGAGGCAGCAGUGGGGAAUAUUGCACAAUGGGCGCAAGCCUGAUGCAGCCAUGCCGCGUGUAUGAAGAAGGCCUUCGGGUUGUAAAGUACUUUCAGCGGGGAGGAAGGGAGUAAAGUUAAUACCUUUGCUCAUUGACGUUACCCGCAGAAGAAGCACCGGCUAACUCCGUG
rnacentral:rRNA from 1 species